rnacentral:rRNA from 1 species
AUUGAACGCUGGCGGCAUGCCUUACACAUGCAAGUCGAACGGCAGCGCGGGUGCUUGCCCCUGGUGGCGAGUGGCGAACGGGUGAGUAAUACAUCGGAACAUGUCCUGUAGUGGGGGAUAGCCCGGCGAAAGCCGGAUUAAUACCGCAUACGAUCCACGGAUGAAAGCGGGGGACCUUCGGGCCUCGCGCUAUAGGGUUGGCCGAUGGCUGAUUAGCUAGUUGGUGGGGUAAAGGCCUACCAAGGCGACGAUCAGUAGCUGGUCUGAGAGGACGACCAGCCACACUGGGACUGAGACACGGCCCAGACUCCUACGGGAGGCAGCAGUGGGGAAUUUUGGACAAUGGGCGAAAGCCUGAUCCAGCAAUGCCGCGUGUGUGAAGAAGGCCUUCGGGUUGUAAAGCACUUUUGUCCGGAAAGAAAUCCUUGACUCUAAUACAGUCGGGGGAUGACGGUACCGGAAGAAUAAGCACCGGCUAACUACGUG